CACUCCAGUCAACAGAUGGCGAUAUGCGUUUUUCAGGCGAUGCUAUCAGAGUGACGUAUAAUGUAGUGGACGGGACGCUUCUUCAACAACAUCUCGUCAGCCACCUCGGUAGCUUCCUAGCGGAAACGUUCAAGCUGUUCAGACUGAUUCGGUCUAUAUUUACUUCUGUAUUUGGAACAUAAUUCUGUCUUUUAACUAGUUUCCCCAUUUCAUGUCAUAUUUCCGUUUAGUCAGGUAACGGUAGCUGGCUUGAUAAAUGAGCCUAUCACUAGGCUAGUCGCUAACUAGCUAGGUUAGCUGGCUAACAUCCCCGACCAUGAGCUCAGCAAGCUGCUGCCCUCCUGCUAAAAAAAGAGGUCUGCUGGAAGGAGAAAGAAGGUAUUUGGCUGAACGUUGUCGUGAAAGAGGAGAAUGAAGAGGAGGAUGUCACAGUAAACGAAGAAGUAGAGGGUGAGGCUGUUACACAGAAAGAAGAGGAAGAACACGAUUAUACUUUUUUUGGAGUGAAUGAAGGAGAGAUAACUGUCAUAUUGAAGGAGGAGGAGAGGGAAGAAGAGGAGGAGACAGAAGAUCUGAGUAACACCAGAGAGAGACCAGACUCUCCUUCUGACAGCAGGAAGAGUCCUUCAGGGAAACCAGACCCCGAGACGUCCAAACCACCAGGACGACAUCACUGCUCCCAGUGUGGAAAGAGUUUUACUCAGUUAGGGAGCCUGAGAACACAUAAGAGAAUACACACUGGAGAGAAGCCUUACCACUGUUCCCAAUGUGGAAUGUCAUUUACCCAGUUAGGGAGCCUGCAAACGCAUGAGAGGGGACACACGGGGGAAAAGCUUUUCCAAUGUUCCCAUUGUGGAAAGAGUUUUGGCCAGGUAGGAAACCUGAACAAGCAUGAGAGGACACACACAGGUAAGAAGAUGUACCGCUGCUCCCAGUGUGGAGAGAGAUUUACCCGGUUAAGGUACCUGAAAGAGCAUGAAGGAAUACAUACAAAUACACAGGAGGAGAAGACAUACCACUGCUCUCAUUGUGGAAAGACAUUUUCCCAGUCAGAGAACCUGAAAACACAUGAGAGAAUCGAGAGGCUGUGUUCUGACUUGUGUUUUUGACUGAGAAUGUGUGUGUUUGUUUGGGCUGUCAGACUUGAGUUCACUUUGUGUAAUGUUAGUGCACUAUUUUUAAUUGUGAUUAAUCCAUUGUCUGAAAGGGUUAAAAACACACUGAAAACAUCCCAAAGACAUACUACAUACAGCUAGAAUCUACAAUGCCAUGUAAACACAAGAUGACAUUGAGGUUAAAUAAAGUGUGAUUUAUCAAUGGAACAUAUUUUGACACGUCCACUGUGUGUCUCUGUAGAGUCAUAAUAUCCAUAACAACUAGAGGUCAAACAGGGAGAUGGUUCCAUUCAUUUUCCCCACAGGGCUGUGUUUUGUUUAGACUCACCCUGGUGUGAUGUUUUGAUAACCAUGUAAACCUCUCUGGGACAAGGUGACUGAGGACACAGUGUGUUGUCAAUUUAUUGUCAUGUUUUUAAAAUGGUAUAACUGCCUUUAUUUUAGAUGGACCCCAGGAAGAGUAGCUGCUGCCUUGGCAGGAACUAAUGGGGAUCCAUAAUAAACCCCAGGAAGAGUAGCUGCUGCCUUGGCAGGAACUAAUGGGGAUCCAUAAUAAACCCCAGGAAGAGUAGCUGCUGCCUUGGCAGGAACUAAUGGGGAUCCAUAAUAAACCCCAGGAAGAGUAGCUGCUGCCUUGGCAGGAACUAAUGGGGAUCCAUAAUAAACCCCCAGGAAGAGUAGCUGCUGCCUUGGCAGGAACUAAUAGGGAUCCAUAAUAAACCCCUGGAAGAGUAGCUGCUGCCUUGGCAGGAACUAAUGGGGAUCCAUAAUAAAUACAAAUACUCUUAUCAAUAUAUUUGUCUUUACUCUCGGAUUCGAAAAUGCUAAUUAGCAUCAAAGUAGACAACAUGCAAGACUACAAAUCUCUGCAAGCUCCUGCAAGUCAUCUCUAGCCAACACAUUUCACAGAACAGUUCACAGAAUUGUCCAUUGAAAUAAAUGUUGACAAUUGAAUCACUGCUACAUUAAGGCCUGAUUGGUGGAGUGCUGCAGAGAUGGUUGUCCUUCUGGAAGGUUCUCCCGUCUCCACAGAGGAAAUCUGGAUCUCUGUCAGAGUGAACAUCGGGUUCUUGUUCACCUCCUUGACCAAGGCCCUUUCCCCCGAUGUCUCAGUUUGGCCGGGUUGCCAGCUCUAGAAAGAGUAUUGGUGGUUCCAAACUUCUUCCAUUUAAGAAUGAUGGCGGCCAUUGUGUUCAUGGGGAACGUCAAUGCUGCAGACAUUUUUUGUACCUUUCCCCAGAUCUGUGCCUCGACACAAUCCUGUCUCAGAGCUCUACGGACAAUUCCUUUGACCUCAUGGCUUGGUUUUUGCUCUGACAUGCACUGUAAACUGUGGGACCUUAUAUAGACAGGUGUGCCUUUCCAAACCAUGUCUAAUUGAUAGAAUUUACCACAGGUGGACUCCAAUCAAGUUGUAGAAACAUCUCAAGGAUGAUCAAUGGAAUCAGGAUGCAUCUGACCUCAAUUUCGAGUCUCAUAGCAAAGGGUCUGAAUACUUAAAUAAAUACAUUUGCGAAAAUGUCUAAAAACCUGUUUUUGGUUUGUUAUUAUGAGGUAUUGUGUGUAGAUUGAUGAGGGGAAAAACAUAUUACAUUUUAUAAUGAAGCUGUAACGUAACUAAAUGUGGAAUAAGUGAAGGGGUCUGAAUACUUAAUGAAUACACUGUAUACCACUGGAAGAGGUUUCUAUCAUUGGCAGUUUUGUACACAGUCAGGUGAUACGUGGUAUAGAAAGUCCAAUCUUAGGAGAGAACAUGGGAGGCACUAUACUGUGUGUCUGCAGGUGUCUAUCUGGUCAAAACCACUGAUACAGGUGCCCCUCCACCCUCUGGUGGGAUGGAUCAUGUCUACAGAGAAACCUACAUUCAAAUACUUAGAUUUGUGUGUGUUGGGUAUAUGUUGUGAAAUUAUUAGAUAUUACUUGUUAGAUAUUACUGCACUGUCGGAGCUAGAAACACAAGCAUUUUGCUACACCUGCAAUAACAUUUGCUAAACACGUGUAUGUGACCAAUAAAAUGUGAUUUUGAUUUGAAAUAAACGUCCUAUUUAUCAAAGGUGCUUUUGGCUGGAGUCAAAAUGACUCCAAAGGAUUUGAAUGUGUUAUGUUGGAUGAAUUGAAUGAACCACAUUUUGGCUGUGAUAAAAGAUAUGUCUCUGGGGUCAAAAUGAUCCAUGUCAGAACUAUGGAUCAAUGUAAAUAUGUAGUGAGUCUAGAGUUUGUUUUAAAUUGUCACUCAUUAAAAACGAAUCAAUCAA